GACGUAGGGCGCGAGCGUUGUCCGGAUUUAUUGGGCGUAAAGAGCUCGUAGGCGGCUUGUUACGUCGACUGUGAAAACCCGCGGCUCGAACCGCGGGCCUGCAGUCGAUACGGGCAGGCUAGAGUUCGGUAGGGGGAGACUGGAAUUCCUGGUGUAGCGGUGAAAUGCGCAGAUAUCAGGAGGAACACCGGUGGCGAAGGCGGGUCUCUGGGCCGAUACUGACGCUGAGGAGCGAAAGCGUGGGGAGCGAACAGG
rnacentral:rRNA from 1 species